AUACUCUGGUUUCUCUUCAGAUCAUAUAAAUGUUUUGCCUUUUACUAAAGAUUUCUGUGGAAAGGAAUGACUUUGAGUCUUUUUUUUUUUUAAGAUUUUAUUUAUUUAUUCAAC